rnacentral:rRNA from 1 species
UGAAUGAUGGUGACCUAAACCCUCACCAAAGUAACAAUUGGAGGGCAAGUCUGGUGCCAGCAGCCGCGGUAAUUCCAGCUCCAAUAGCGUAUAUUAAACUUGUUGCAGUUAAAAAGCUCGUAGUUGAAUUUUUGCGAGGUGUUAAUAUUGACUGAUGUCGAGAUUGCACUUGGCUUUUGGGAUUUAUCCCUUUUUACUUUGAGAAAAUUAGAGUGUUUCAAGCAGACUUUUGUCUUGAAUACUUCAGCAUGGAAUAAUAGAGUAGGACUUUGGUUCUAUUUUGUUGGUUUGUGAACCUUAGUAAUGAUUAAUAGGAACGGUUGGGGGCAUUCGUAUUUAACUGUCAGAGGUGAAAUUCUUAGAUUUGUUAAAGACGAACUACUGCGAAAGCAUUUGCCAAGGACGUUUUCAUUAAUCAAGAACGAAAGUUAGGGGAUCGAAGACGAUCAGAUACCGUCGUAGUCC